rnacentral:rRNA from 1 species
AACGAACGCUGGCGGCAUGCCUAACACAUGCAAGUCGAACGAGACCUUCGGGUCUAGUGGCGCACGGGUGCGUAACGCGUGGGAACCUGCCUUUAGGUUCGGAAUAACUCAGAGAAAUUUGUGCUAAUACCGGAUGAUGUCUUCGGACCAAAGAUUUAUCGCCUUUAGAUGGGCCCGCGUUGGAUUAGCUAGUUGGUGGGGUAAAGGCCUACCAAGGCGACGAUCCAUAGCUGGUCUGAGAGGAUGAUCAGCCACACUGGGACUGAGACACGGCCCAGACUCCUACGGGAGGCAGCAGUGGGGAAUAUUGGACAAUGGGCGAAAGCCUGAUCCAGCAAUGCCGCGUGAGUGAUGAAGGCCUUAGGGUUGUAAAGCUCUUUUACCCGAGAUGAUAAUGACAGUAUCGGGAGAAUAAGCUCCGGCUAACUCCGUG